CUCGAACGCAUAUUGCGCUCUCUGGUAUUCCGGAGAGCAUGCUUGUUUGAGUAUCAUAAACACCUCAACUCCUCUCUUCUCUUUUGAAAAUGGGAGUUGGACUUGAGUAAUCCCAACGCUUUUCUCACCGAACAGUGGCGGGUUACUUGAAAUGCAGGUGCAGCUGGACUAUUUCUCUGAGCUAAAAGCAUAUCUAUUUAGUCUGCCUAAAAAACAGAUUAUUACCUUUGCUGCAGCUAACAUAAAGGAGAUUAGUUCUUGUGCUGACUGAUGCAGGAUUCACAGAGACGGCUUUGGCUGGCUUUGUAAACUCGAUCUCAAAUCAAGUAAGACUACCCGCUGAAUUAACAAU
rnacentral:rRNA from 1 species